rnacentral:rRNA from 1 species
UACGAGAGCCCCAAGCGUUAUCCGGAAUUAUUGGGCGUAAAGGGUGAGUAGGUGGCAUUAUUAGUCGUUCUUUAAAGACCGGUGCUUAACACCGGGAAUGAGAGCGAAACGGUAUUGCUUGAGUAUGUGAGAGGUGUGCGGAACUCAUGGUGUAGGGGUGAAAUCCGUUGAUAUCAUGGGGAACACCAAAGGCGAAGGCAGCACACUGGCGCAUCACUGACACUGAAUCACGAAACCUAAGGUAGCGAAUGGG